rnacentral:lncRNA from 1 species
ACCUCUCUUUCAUUGCACAUAGGGAUCUGAACAAGAACCAUUGGGAAAGUGGAAGGAUCUUCAAGAUCAUAGCUUUGAUCAUCAAUGUUAAUCACUGGCUUUAUUUUCUUGAAUUUGAUCCAAAAGAAGCCAAUUCCAAGUAUGAAUCUAUCAAGAGACUGGAUCAAGAACAGCAACACACAGAACUGAGACAACAUGGUGAUAGAUGGAGCAAUAUAUUCAGCUCUGAAUGAAAUCCAACCCAUGUAAGACAAGUGUAACAGUCCCAUAGCUUCAUUAGGGAUAAAGUUCAAGUCCCAAUUUUGAAAAUAAGCAAACACUUCAACACACAAAGCGAAAAUAGAUAUAGCAAGAAAUGCUCUUAUGAAUCUGUACAUGAUCUUUUCUUUAAAGAAAAGUCUUGGAGAACCCCAUUGUUAUCCAUGGGAAGAAAGAGAGGAUUCUUUGAGCUUUGAGUAAAAGCAGCCAAGAAAACUGCUUUGUGCUUGCUGUUUUUUGCUUUUCAAGAAACACAGAUGUUUCUGAAUCAUCAACUUCUACUAAAGAGAUGUUGCUUGAUUUGUCUAUUGUGACCACCACAGAGCUUGGUGCCAUUUUCUUGAAGAUAAAUCCACAAAUCCCAGAUGGGAUUUUGCAGAAAAUGGAUCAAGAUUGAAGGAAAGUGAUGAAAGUUACUAAAUUUUGAGUAAAGACUGAUGACCCAUAUAACAAUUUGGAGUCUUGGAGGGUUUUAAGGUGAAAUCUGGAUCUUAAAGAAUGGAGAAUGGGGAAGUUGACUAGUCAAAGUGUGUGUUUUUUUAGAGAGAGAAAAGUGUGAUUGUUAUGUGAAAAAUGGAAGGUUCAUGGAGGUGGGUUUGAAGACUGGAAGUUUAAAUGUGGAAGGGUUUGUUUAAUUUCUUGGGU